rnacentral:rRNA from 1 species
AUGCACUACUCCAUGUCCGGAUCAGCAGCGGCAGGCGGAGGAGACCUCGGCGGCGGCCAGUUCUACGGCGACCAUCCGCCUGCCGACGACGUCUUCUUCCAGAGUCGUUCGGCGUGCGGCGGUGAAGACGAUGGUGGUGUCACGCCGUCGGCCUACUCCAGCAUCACCGACUACCUGCAGGGGCUCCUCGACCCCGCGGAGCUCGCCAGGCACCUGGACGCGCCUCCGUGCUACCCGACGAUGAGAGACGUGAUCGGCGAGGCAGCGGCCCCGGUCACGCCCAACUCGUCCACGUCCGGCGAGGCGGCGGGGGUCGAGUCCCACGGGUGCAAGAGAGGCAGUCCGGUGCCGGAGGAGGGAGACGAGGAUGGAUCGGCUGAUCAUCACAACCACAGGAGCGACGAGAAGGAGCAAAAGAAGAAAGGGAAGUGGGAGAAGAAGGCGCGUGGCUCCCGUGUGGCCUUUGCGACAAAGAGUGAGGUCGACCACCUCGACGAUGGCUACCGUUGGCGCAAGUAUGGCCAGAAGGCCGUCAAGAACAGCUCCUUCCCAAGGAGCUACUACCGGUGCACGGUGGCGCGGUGCGGGGUGAAGAAGCUGGUGGAGCGGUCGCAGCAGGACCCGUCCACGGUCGUCACCACCUAUGAGGGCCGCCACGGGCACCCAAGCCCCGUCGCCGCCCACCGUGGCGCACGGAUGCUAAUGGCCACCGGUGCGGACACUUCCUACUCGCUUGCCGCACUCCAGCAUCACCAACAUGACUUUUUGCCGGCUGGUGCCGACGUCUACGGGCGCAUGUGCAUGCAACCCACUACCGCCGUCACCCCGUCGGUGGCACACCGAUUGUCAGAGUAUGGUGGCAUGCAGUUCCAUGCUGAUCUUCUUCCCGAUGACGCGAUGGGCUACCAGCAUGGGUAUCGUUAA